rnacentral:rRNA from 1 species
GAGUUUGAUCCUGGCUCAGAUUGAACGCUGGCGGCAGGCCUAACACAUGCAAGUCGAACGGUAACAGGAAUCAGCUUGUUGAUUCGCUGACGAGUGGCGGACGGGUGAGUAAUGUCUGGGAAACUGCCUGAUGGAGGGGGAUAACUACUGGAAACGGUAGCUAAUACCGCAUAAUGUCGCAAGACCAAAGAGGGGGACCUUCGGGCCUCUUGCCAUCGGAUGUGCCCAGAUGGGAUUAGCUAGUAGGUGGGGUAACGGCUCACCUAGGCGACGAUCCCUAGCUGGUCUGAGAGGAUGACCAGCCACACUGGAACUGAGACACGGUCCAGACUCCUACGGGAGGCAGCAGUGGGGAAUAUUGCACAAUGGGCGCAAGCCUGAUGCAGCCAUGCCGCGUGUAUGAAGAAGGCCUUCGGGUUGUAAAGUACUUUCAGCGGGGAGGAAGGGAGUAAAGUUAAUACCUUUGCUCAUUGACGUUACCCGCAGAAGAAGCACCGGCUAACUCCGUGCCAGCAGCCGCGGUAAUACGGAGGGUGCAAGCGUUAAUCGGAAUUACUGGGCGUAAAGCGCACGCAGGCGGUUUGUUAAGUCAGAUGUGAAAUCCCCGGGCUCAACCUGGGAACUGCAUCUGAUACUGGCAAGCUUGAGUCUCGUAGAGGGGGGUAGAAUUCCAGGUGUAGCGGUGAAAUGCGUAGA